rnacentral:lncRNA from 1 species
GGAUUCGCAAUUCGCGAGCGGAGCCGACCGCUUCCGACUGCGGCGGAUCCAGGCUGGGGCCAGCGCGGCGUCCCCGCCAGACAACCGCUGCCUGCCUAUUGGGCUCGGCUCAGGAAGACAUGUGGAGAAGGUUCCAGCUGUGAUGCAUCCCAGGAUGCAUGUUGUGAUGAGGUCAGCUGACAGGAAGUGGGCAGUGCCUGAGCCAGCCAGCAAGGGGGACCAAGAAGGACAGGAGACAUGGAGCCAAGAAAAGCAUUCUCUGGAUUAAGG